rnacentral:lncRNA from 1 species
AGAGGAAAGAGGGAGGAGAGCGGAGGAGAGGCGACAUGGAUCUUGAGGCCAAUUCCUUCCUAGGAGAUGGAUGUUGAAGCGAACUUCUUCUCCUUCCUCCCUCCCUCCGAUCCUUGAGUCUUAACCCUAGACGGAGAGAUGGUCGGCGACGAUGGAAUGGCGGAGAUCCUCCAACUCUUCUGUGCGCGAAGCAAUUUCCAUCCGGAUCUUUUCCUAUCGAGGUAUUUGUAAAGAUCCCCAAAUUACAAGCCCUUGGAUUCUUGACUCUUUCGCUUGUGAUUUCUUUUGCUUCUGUUGUCACGACAUUCGUUUGCAAGAAUGUUGGCAAGAUGUUGUUCUGCAAGAAAAGGAAAUGGGGAUCUCGAAGAGUAUCUCCUCGAACCGUCUUAAGGGCACUUAAUUAAACUUUAUAAUCUAUACCGAUCCUUGAGUCUGACCCCUGAAUGAAUAAGCGACAUAAUAUGGUGGAGAGGUAGAAGAUCCUCUAGAUCUCCUGCGAUGUAUUGGUAAACAUCUCCCAAAAGUAAUCGUUCUUGUAUUCUUGAUUUUUUUUUUAAUCUUGAGUUGAUACGUUUGAUUGUUGAACUGGUUCCUUUUGGUAUUGCAUAACGUGUCCAGAUUGUUUGUGAUUUCUUUUUCUUUUGUUAUUAAGAAUCCUAACAACUUCACAUGUCCUUUCCAAAGAUGUUGUUAGAAUGUCCUUCGGCAAGAAAAUGAGGAUUGGGAUGUGAUUCAUCAUCCUAAAGGUUGAUGAAUUAGAUUAUAACCUUUACCAACUCACUUGAUUCCUCUUUGUUUGUUGUUUGGACUUCUCUUGCAAGAAGUUUAGGUAUGAAAAGUUAGUAAUCGUCUGUCCCAGAAAUUGAUCAUCUGAUUCUUGUGGUUUUUAUUGUCAUAAAUUACCUUUUGUCUGGCACUUCUUAGUGCUAGCCUAAAUGAAAUAGGUUAUUUUGUUAACUAAAUGACACCAUCAUAUUUUCUGACCUUGGGAUCCAUUGGAUCUUUAAUUUGCUUGUUCCUAUUCCUACCUUGGUCUCAUCUUGGGGUCUUAAGACAUGAUGGUUCUUUCAUGAUCUCCUGGUCAUGUUGCAUGUUAUGUUCACAUCUGAGAAUAUAGAAGAAGAUACAGGGUUAUUCUAUGUCUUACAUAUGAAGCUAGCACUGCUUGUGCUUCUUAAUCUGAUCCUAGUGUGAUUAUCAUACUUUUAUGCUACUUUUCUUUAAUUAUUAUUCUUCACAUGAUGAUCAAGAUCAUAAAUAAUGUCACCCCUUUGAAUUUACUUUACAUUUUGACAUAAACAAAUCUCUUCGAUAAGUUUGUUUUUGUUUUCAUAUGUGAGAUUAGCAAUGUUGAUCGGGUUACUAUAUCUUGAUCAAGAUGAUAUCGUAUGUCUUAUAUUAGAAUAUGAUCUGUGAAUCAAGGUCAUGUUGAUAUCUAUCUUUGAUUCCAUUAUGUAAUAAUUAGAUUUGAUUCUAUUAAUUGGUUUAAAAUUAAGUAGCUAAGGAAUGAAUUAUUUAGAUUAGCCUUCAUUUAUAAAAAGCAUGAACUUACCUUAAACUCUAGUUCAUCAUAAGUUUGAAAUUAACUGAUUAUAUAUGUUAUAGAUACGAUUGUGGAUAUAUAAAUACAUUAGGACAUUCUCGUUUAAAUUGUACAGAUUGGAUAUCCAGUCCAAUUAUAACUUGAUUAAGCUUGCCUAAUUUGGUUUCAAUUUUAAUUGACAUGAUCAUAAUAAUUUGUAGUUAUGCAAGCUAAGAUGACACCUGAGUAAGUUUCCAUUAUAAUCCUAAAUAAAUUAGGAUAUCCUCGUUUGAAUUGUACAAAUGCUAUGUUUGGUCCAAUUACAACUUAAGUCGGUAAGUCUAAUUUGUGAUAAGUCAAUUUGAAUUUUGAAUGACUUGUGAUCAUAAUGGUAUUUAAUUUGUGAACAGCAUUUUUAUUCCCCAUGAUAACAUUCCAAUUCAAAGAUUCUUUUAAUCAAAUAUUAACAUCUAACUCUAGUCCUAUGGCCUUCAUAAUGAUAAAUUUGGUCAUGAUUGAUAUCGAGUUCAUUUAAUUAGUAAUUCUUUAUCAUGUCACAUUCAAUUAUAUUACCAGUUUUAAUUUGUUGUAUUUAUGUGGUCAUUUCAUCCUAUGUUCUGGAUCAAAUUAUGUCGACAUAGUUAAGAUCAAGUAGAUCAAAAUUGAUCAUCCAAAGGUUUAUUUAGCAUCCAUGAAAUUCACAAAUUUGACAAGUUAAUAUUAAUAUGUAAUUAAAUAUUUCAUUUUCACUUAAUUAAAUCAAGUGAUGCUUUCAUUUUAAUCCAAAUUUUAGUAUUUUGACCAAGUUGAUGUUUCCACAUGAAGUUGACCCUCCAAGGCCACAUUUUUAAUUAUUUGAUUUCUUGCUUGUUUAUUCUUCAGAUUUUGUUUAUCCGUUUUUAUAGAUGACUUGUUUGCUAAACUUUCCUCUCGUAUUCUGAGUUGAUAUUUUAAGGACUAAGAAAUAUUCUAAAAUGGAAUGCUAGAGUUGGGCAUGCUUCUUGAUUUGAUCCAACCAUAUUAUUAUACUUUUAUGGUGCCUUUUCAUUAGUUAUUCUACAUAAGAUGAUCAAGAUUGUAAAUAAUAAUAUACCUUUGAAUUUAUAAUUGAUUUUAAGAGGCAAUGAAAUUCAAUGACAGGGUUCCCCCCGAAAAUGUUUGUACGAUUUCCAUUGUAAAAUAUGUACCUCCAAUUUGUUCUUUUCAUAUAGUGGAACCAUUUGUGAGGUCGAUUAUAUGAGUUUCAAGAUGAAAAGCUUAGACAUUGCUGUUGGAUAAGAGGUAUGCCAACCGAAAGGAAGUUGCUUAUAACUGCAAGCAUUUGAAAAGCAAGAUCUCUACUAUCAUAUGCUUUGCAAUCUAGACUUGAGGAUCACUUGCACCACAAUUGUCUUAACCUUUUUGGGUUGCUCUAAUUGAAGCAUUUCUAACGUCUAAAGAUGUGGCAAAAAGCUUAAGGCGGAGCAUCGGGGAAGACGUCAAAGAUUAAGCUGCAUUGACUUUGUUUGUUUAUACAUUGAUUUUAUUGCACUGGAAACAAAAGGGUCGAGGGGGUGAAAUCCUUUGUAAAGGUUUGAUGUGGUCAAGGAUAUCCUUUGUAAAGGUUUGAUGUGGUCUAAGGAUAUCCGGUGGUAGGGCAUCUUUUUGUUGAAAUCAGGAUCAAUUAGAUUUGACCAUAUUAUUUGGCUUGGAAUUAAGUAGUUAAGGUUUGACAUAUUUUGCUUAGUUUUAUUCUUAAAGAUUUUUUUAUCACAUGUAUAUUUAGUUGACUAAGCUUGGAGUUAGCUAAUUAAGUACCUGUUAUACAUUUUUAGAUAAAGCCGCUUGCGGCAGGCAUGUCAUACAUUGUUAAUUGCACAAAGGUUAUCGCAUAUGUUCAUAGUUUGAAGGUGAGCGAGCACAUGUCGCUGGCGUAGUUGAUGUGUUCAAAGAUUUGGUGGUUAGACAUUUUGAUUAUUUUUUGUGUUCCGCGUAAAAGUUAUUAUUUUUCACUUUGGCAAUAUUUUCUUAAUUUUUUUAACUAUAAUUUUGUGUUCCGU